rnacentral:rRNA from 1 species
UCCCCUAGUAACUGCGAGUGAAGCGGGAAAAGCUCAAAUUUAAAAUCUGACAGUCUUUGGCUGUUCGAGUUGUAAUCUGGAGAAGCGUCUUCCGCGCUGGACCGUGUACAAGUCUUCUGGAACGGAGCGUCAUAGAGGGUGAGAAUCCCGUCUUUGACACGGACUACCAGUGCUUUGUGAUGCGCUCUCAAAGAGUCGAGUUGUUUGGGAAUGCAGCUCCAAAUGGGUGGUAAACUCCAUCUAAAGCUAAAUAUUGGCGAGAGACCGAUAGCGAACAAGUACCGUGAGGGAAAGAUGAAAAGCACUUUGGAAAGAGAGUUAAACAGUACGUGAAAUUGCUGAAAGGGAAACGCUUGAAGUCAGUCGCGUUUGCUAGGACUCAGCCUUGCCUCGGCUUGGUGCAUUUCCUAGUGAACGGGCCAGCAUCACUUUUGGCUGCGGGAAAAAGGUCAGGGGAAUGUGGCACCUUCGGGUGUGUUAUAGCCUCUGGCUGCAUACCGUGGCUGGGAGUGAGGAACUCAGCAUGCCUUAAUGGCGGGGCUUCGGCCACCUUCGUGCUUAGGAUGCUGGCGUAAUGGCUUUAAACGACCCGUCUUGAAACACGGACCAAGGAGUCUAACAUGCCUGCGAGUGUUUGGGUGGAAAACCCGAGCGCGCAAUGAAAGUGAAAGUUGGGACCUCUGUCGUGGAGGGCACCGACGCCCGGACCUGAACUUCGGUGACGGCUCUGCGGUAGAGCAUGCAUGUUGGGACCCGAAAGAUGGUGAACUAUGCCUGAAUAGGGUGAAGCCAGAGGAAACUCUGGUGGAGGCUCGUAGCGAUUCUGACGUGCAAAUCGAUCGUCAAAUUUGGGUAUAGGGGCGAAAGACUAAUCGAACCAUCUAGUAGCUGGUUCCUGCCGAA